rnacentral:lncRNA from 1 species
GCACUUUAUUCCUGGUAUUAAAUCCUUUUUUUUUUCUUAUUUUUUUAAAUCCUUUUUUUUUUUUAAAAAACAUCUAGUAUAGUUUCUGUCUUAUGCACUGAACUCUUGUCUGAUACAGAGUACCACAAAAGAUUAAAAAAAAAAAAAAAAGACCUACAGUAGACAUGUCCUGCUGACAUUUAAUUUCAGUAAUGAAGGAGUAAAAUCUGGGCAAAGACAUUAGCAAGAGGAGGGCAUUUGAAUUAAAAUAAUGGUUCGUCUCUGUAACACUGAAUACCAAGAGAAUUAGAGUGGUAUCAAGUUUAGGAAAUGAGGCAUGCUCCUCUAAAAGAUUCAUAAUACAUAAUUGUGCGGUACAGGUUCUGAGAAGCUUGUAAUAGGGAAGCAUGCUUAAUUUUGUUCACCUUCAUAUUUCCCAAACUCAGAAAGAUAGCCAUUAUUUGGGGAAUGCUAGUUUACUUCAAUUUGAGAGGGAAAAUACUAAGUCCUAAUAACUAUUCUUAAAGUAACCUAGUUCUUAUAAUACCUUACUAAGGAAAUAUAUGAGACACCAAAAAAAAAAAAAAAUCAAAAUUUGAAAAGCAGAGGCAGAAAAGUCAACAAGCAGUAAAACCAAUAAAAUUGUUAAUGUCUAAGUAAUUGUUAAUAUGGUUAUUAAACUUAAUAUUCAUAUGAGGCAAAAGUCUUGAAAGGGAAGAUAAAGUAAAAUAAUAACAAUUAAUUUAAGAGCCUAUAACGUUUCAACAAAAAACUAAGAAGUGGAAAAGAAGGAAUGAAAAAAGUAUGCUAAUUUUUAUAUUCUACACUGAGGAAGGUCUAAAGGUUUAGAUUUAUUCUUGACACUGAUAGAAAAAUUUGGGAAAUAAAUGAAAGAAUGAGUACAUACAUACAUGUUUAAUUUUAAAGUAACAUCGGGCAGCCCGGGUGGCUCAGUGGUUUAGCACCACUUUGGGCCCAGGGCCUGAUCCUGGAGACCCGGGAUGGAGUCCGAUGUCAGGCUCCCUGCACGGAGCCUGCUUCUCCCUCUGCCUGUGUCUCUCCUUCUCUCUCUCACUCUGUCUCAUGAAUAAAUAAAUAAAAUCUUUAAAAAAAAAUUAAAAUAACAUAAAAGUAUCAAGAUUAGCAGCUUUCAAAUUAACAGAGAGAAAGAUAAAAACUUAAGCAAAAAAUCAAGAAAUCCUAUUAUUAGAGGACAAAUGUAAAAAAAAAACCCAGUAGUAAUAACUAUAAGUGUAAAAAGCUAAAACACUGUACUGGCUUUUUAAAAAAUCCAACAAUAUGUUCUUUAUAAGCAAUCUAUGAAAAACAUUAUAUGGAAAGCAUAAAAGAAACCGAGGGACAGACAAAGAUGUAAUGAGAAAUUCAAAUUAAAGCAAAGUAGGAGGUCUUGAUACCAAUACCAAAAUGAAAUUUAAGUUAGAAGGUAGUUGGAGAUAACUGGGUGAUGGACAUAAAGGAGGGCAUGUGAUGUAAUGAGCACUGGGUAUUAUACAAGAUUGAUGAAUCACUGACCUCCACC